rnacentral:lncRNA from 10 species
GGAACUGCUUUAAAAAAAAUUUCUUGGGCCGGGUGCGGUGUGAGCCGCCACACCUGGGCUGUGGGCAGGUUUUCACCAGUGGUUUUGUAAACACUGUGGAGCGGACAGUAAGGGGGGAGGUGCAGGGUCGGGGGGCAGAUAAAAGUGCCAUCACCGCCCUAGCACUCUUGUCCCCUCCCGUGACACAGCCCCUGAGUGUGCUGUCGGCAGGGCAGCAGCUCGGGAGAGAAUGACCCAGAAAAACAGUGCUGGGAGGGAGCUUGCUGGGAGGGAAGGAUUGCCUUCCCUGUAACAUGCCCAGGUUGGGAUUAAGGAUGAUUCCGGGGUUGGGGGGGGCAUGCCCCCUCUCUCGCUCCCUCCCUUCCUCCCUCCCUCGAGUUUCCUAUGUUCCCAAGCUGGGGGCAGGAGGACCAAGGCCUCCUGGGAACCAGGGGCCCCUCGCUUUUCUCUCGGUGGGACCACAUUCUCACCUGCGACACCUUCCUUUCCACCACACUCUGUGCUGUUCCACGUGGCAUGUGAAUGCCCAGUUUUGGCAUCUGUACAUAUGUGUCCUGUCCACCUAAAUCCAGAAUUCAGUUUGGCGUUUCACCUUAUUUAUUUAUGUAUUUAUUGAGACGGAGUUUCCCCUCUUGUCGCCCAGGCUGGAGUGCAGUGGCACAAUCUCGGCUCACUGCCACCUCCGCCUGCCAGGUUCAAGCGAUUCUCCUCCCUCAGCCUCACAAGGAGCUGGGAUUACAGGCGCCCAUCACCACGCCCGGCUAGUUUUUGUAUUUUUUAGUAGAGACAGGGUUUCUCCAUGUUGCUUAGGCUGCUCUCGAACUCCUGACCUCAAGUGAUCCACCCGCCUCAGCCUCCCGAAGUGCUGGGAUGACAGGCGUGAGCCACCGCGCCGGGCAAGAGGAGCUGCUGCUCUCACAGUUCUGGAGUCUGGAAGUCGAAGCUCAAGCAGGUCCAGCUUCCUUUGGGGGCUUUUGGGGAGACCCUUUCUGACUCUUCCAGCUUCCGGUGGUAGCUGGCCAUCCCUGGUGUCACUUGACUUGUGGAUGAAUCACUCCAGUCUCUGCCUGUGUUGUGACUUGGCCGUUGCCUGUGUCUCUGUGUCCAGAUUUCCCUCUUAUAAGGAUGCCAGUCAUUGAAUUAGGGCUCUCCCUGCUCCUGCGUGACCUCAUCUUAAUGAAUUACAGCUGCAAGAUACAAACCCUGUCCUCACUUACGUACAAUUCAUCUCUGACAUGAAGCAGUCUCCCGGGGCUCCGCGUCUGUUCGCUCUGGGAUUAAAUUCGCGUAGGCACUGGGGAGGCGGGAGCUGCCUUCGCAGAUAUUUAGCAAAUGAGGAUCGAAGGCCAGUGGGAACCGUGAGGAGACGCACAACCUGGUUUGGGCCACGGGGCCUGGGGGGAUGCCGAGGGGGGCUCAGCUGCCAAGAUGCCAAAAAUAGCCGGCCGGCUGGCGGGGGAGGCGGCCAAGCAGAAGAAGCUGGGCAAUGCCGCCUGGUAGUUCUGGCUGCUUCCUCCCGCUCCCUCCAACCCCACCUCCACCCGCCACCCCAGCCCCCAGAAUCUUGGCUGCAGCCAAGAAGAGCUGGUAAGGGUGCAGCAGGCUCCCAG